rnacentral:sRNA from 1 species
ACACAGGGAAGGAGGUGGUCCGAAAAUUGAGUGACAUACGGACAAGUGAGGUGGCUGCUAGCUAGCAGCACCAGGAGUGUGAUGGAGCUACUCGGCUCUUCGCACACGCGCUCAUCGUGCAAUCCUGCGAGCGCUGGCGAAUUCCGAGCGGCCACCCGGCCCCCGAGUCCUUGGUUGGUCCAACCAAGAUCAAACGACUCGGGGGCUGCUCCGU